AGGGAGGCAGCGGCAGGCAGUGGCUUCUGUGCUUUCGGCUCCCCGACACCCCAUUGCUGGCACCCACUCUAAUCCCUCCAGGACGCGUGAGAUUCCCAGAGCGAGUACUGUGUGACACCAACCCGGAACAGGCUGCUGGCGCCUUUGGGCUCCCGGGACCAGAGGCUUGGGUCCUUCCCCAGAAGAGUCCACCCCUCCCGGGCCCACAGUCCGAGGCAAGGACCAGCCCUCGGGCAAAAGAGCGCGCAGUGGGCGCGGGUGGGCGCCGCCUCGAGGGCUUCCCGGGUUUCAAACUGCGCCUCUUGGGAGUCACGGGGCGCAUUCGCUCCUUUCGUUUCCGGGGUGGGGGCUAAAGGACAGAAAAAUGUCUCCUUGCACAAGCCUCCUGCGCUCCAGCCCUCGGCCUGGAGGGUCGCCCUGGGAGGAGCCCACGCGGCCCCGGGCCCCUCUCUGCCGCGCCGAGUCCUCACCCCGCAGGGGGCUGGGGCGGGUGCCCGGGAGGGCAAGGGCUUCAAAACCACUCCGGGCACUGCCGCUCGGCCCGCUGCGCCCGCAGAGGACGCGGGGAGAACCGACGGACACUCACCGAGCAGCGGCCGCCCGGCUGGAUCCAGAACGCACGGCGCGCGAAGCCACCCAGAUAUAAAUCCAAACCUCCGAGAAGCUGACAAGAAAGAGAUGAAGAAGCCGAUAACUUGGAGGGAGUCCACCACGAGACUGUUAGGUGGGAAAAGCAAGAGGCAGAAACCCGUGUAAAUAAAGGACCCAUUUUGGUAAAACGAA